AUCCAGCUGACGAGUCCCAAAUGGGGCGAAACGUGCGUCAAACUGGAU
rnacentral:hammerhead_ribozyme from 1 species